GUACGGCGAGUGAAGCGGCAAAAGCUCAAAUUUGAAAUCUAGCACCUUCGGUGUUCGAGUUGUAAUUUGAAGAUGGUAACCUUGGGUUUGGCUCUUGUCUAUGUUCCUUGGAACAGGACGUCAUAGAGGGUGAGAAUCCCGUCUGAUGAGAUGCCCAUUCCUAUGUAAGGUGCUAUCGAAGAGUCGAGUUGUUUGGGAAUGCAGCUCUAAGUGGGUGGUAAAUUCCAUCUAAAGCUAAAUAUUGGCGAGAGACCGAUAGCGAACAAGUACAGUGAUGGAAAGAUGAAAAGAACUUUGAAAAGAGAGUGAAAAAGUACGUGAAAUUGUUGAAAGGGAAGGGCAUUAGAUCAGACUUGGUGUUUUACGAUUAUCUUCUCUUCUUGAGUUGUGCACUCGUAUUUCACUGGGCCAGCAUCGAUUCGGAUGGCAAGAUAAUGGCAGUUGAAUGUGGCUUCACUUCGGUGGAGUGUUAUAGCUUCUGCUGAUAUUGCCUGUCUGGAUCGAGGGCUGCGUCUUUUGACUAGGAUGCUGGCGUAAUGAUCUAAUGCCGCCCGUCUUGA
rnacentral:rRNA from 1 species